CUAGUCACCGCGGUUCCCACCGCAGCGCCCUGGGGCCCACGGCUGGGCCCGCGUGAGCCCACAGCGCCCCCUGGAGGGAGGGUCCGACGCCGCUGCUGAACCCCCGCCUUCCUGAGGUCGGACGCGACCCGGGACCCUCCCGGGCGCCCCAGCCUUCCCCCACAACCCCACAAAGAGGGUUCUGCGCUCCCCUUUGCACACGGAAGGAAACUGAGGCUCAGAAAAGCCAGGCGACUUGACCAAGCCCGACAGCAGAGUGAGAAGAUGGCCCUCUGCAGCCUGGGAGCGGGUCUUCCCCGAACCUGACCGUGCCUGCACCUGAUCUCAGAUCUCCAGCCUCCAGAACCAUGAGAAAUAAACAUCUGAUGUCUCUAUUGCCACUGAGUCUAUGGUCGGCCUGGGCUGAACUGGGCCAAACAGGAACCAGGAGGCAGAUGUCUAUGGCAAGAGUGUACCCAGCCCCAGAGGAGGCAGUCUGCUCAUCCUUCACCAAAACUCCCCUCAGAUCUGCUCAAGGAAGGGGAAAUGAGCAGGAGCAGGGGAUCUUCUGAGAUGAAAUGGGGGGAAGAAAACCCUGCAUCCUGGGUGGGAGCAGCACCCUCCCACUGGAUCCUCAGGAAACCUCUCUUUCCAGGGGGCAGGGGAGAGGUGCAGCCAUCGGUUGUUUAGAGAGAAACCGUGUGUGCUGAAGAAAAGGUAACAGCCCGGCCAACACACCAUUAACUGGCUUCAACUCUCCCCAGGGUUGCAGCCUCCUGGGGGACGCUUCACUGAGGGCAGAGCCCAGCCUGUUGAGCAGCACAGAACAGGUCUUUUAAUAGUUCAUCUGUAGGAAGUGCAUUUGCAAAGUCACCAACCUGCAGCUUCCAUCUGUAGACCAGGAAGGGUGAUUCUCUGGGUGACCACAGCGGAGCAUCCCCUGAGGUACAGACGCCCCCCACCCCCGCAGUGUCCUCACAGCCACCACAGCCUUUGCAGUUUGGCUCAAGCAAGCCCUGCCAGGCCCCACCCCUCACGCUGGCUCUGCUGUGAAGCCAUCCUCCCGUUGGGCAGCAAGCUCAGGCCCUACACAGAGCCAUCUUGAGGCUUGUAAAUGAAGCAGGCGUCCCCAGAGCAGGACUCUGCUGUGGCCACCGGCUUCUCCUUCCACACAGCUUCCCCCGCAACACAGCACGGCCGCUGACCUCUGGCUUCAAGCAAAGGAGAGGUUGUGAGGGGAGCCUUGGGAGGAUGUGGGGACCCCCAGAGAAUCUUCUCCCACCCAAACAGAGCAGUCAAGACCAGGAAAACGAGGCCUCCACUUUGUGAACAACAGAGCUGCCCAUGUGGUCACGCGGCACCUUCGUCCUGAGACACCUGCCCCACACUGGGAAGCAGGGCUCGGUUGACGGUCCACAGCAUGAUAGUUCAUUGCACCGCUGGAGGGAAUGGGCCAGGGCCUCUCGUUGGUCUCCUGAAGGGAAAUGGGGGUUGGGCCCAGAGUCAAGCUGCAGUCAGGGAUGAGGCCUGCAC
rnacentral:lncRNA from 1 species